CCUACGGGCGGCAGCAGUGGGGAAUAUUGGGCAAUGGGCGCAAGCCUGACCCAGCAACGCCGCGUGAAGGAAGAAGGCUUUCGGGUUGUAAACUUCUUUUAAGGGGGACGAACAAAUGAUGGUAUCCUUUGAAUAAGCUACGGCUAACUUCGUGCCAGCAGCCGCGGUAAUACGUAGGUGGCAAGCGUUAUCCGGAUUUAUUGGGUGUAAAGGGCGUGUAGGCGGGAGCGCAAGUCAGAUGUGAAAACUCAGGGCUCAACCUUGGGCCUGCAUUUGAAACUGUGUUUCUUGAGUGCUGGAGAGGCAAGCGGAAUUCCGGGUGUAGCGGUGAAAUGCGUAGAUAUACGGAGGAACACCAGUGGCGAAGGCGGAUAGCUGGACAGUAACUGACGCUGAGGAGCGAAAGCGUGGGGAGCAAACAGGAUUAGAUACCCUUGUAGUC
rnacentral:rRNA from 1 species